rnacentral:rRNA from 1 species
CCUACGGGUGGCAGCAGUGGGGGAUAUUGCACAAUGGAGGAAACUCUGAUGCAGCGACGCCGCGUGAGGGAAGACGGUCCUCGGAUUGUAAACCUCUGUCUUUGGGGAAGCAAAUGACGGUACCCAACGAGGCAGCUCCGGCUAACUACGUGCCAGCAGCCGCGGUCAUCCGUAGGGAGCGAGCGUUGUCCGGAAUUACUGGGUGUAAAGGGAGCGUAGGCGGGCGAGAAAGUUGAAUGUUAAAUCUACGGGCUUAACUGGUAGCUGCGUGCAAAACUUCUUGUCUUGAGUGAAGUAGAGGCAGGCGGAAUGCGUAGUGUAGCGGUGAAAUGCGUAGAUAUUAGGAAGAACACCAGUGGCGAAGGCAGCCUGCUGGGCUUUAACUGACGCUGAGGCACGAAAGCGUGGGUAGCAAACAGGAUUAGAUACCCGGGUAGUC